GAACGGCAGCGCGAGAGAGCUUGCUCUCUUGGCGGCGAGUGGCGGACGGGUGAGUAAUAUAUCGGAACGUGCCCAGUAGCGGGGGAUAACUACUCGAAAGAGUGGCUAAUACCGCAUACGCCCUACGGGGGAAAGGGGGGGAUCGCAAGACCUCUCACUAUUGGAGCGGCCGAUAUCGGAUUAGCUAGUUGGUGGGGUAAAGGCUCACCAAGGCAACGAUCCGUAGCUGGUUUGAGAGGACGACCAGCCACACUGGGACUGAGACACGGCCCAGACUCCUACGGGAGGCAGCAGUGGGGAAUUUUGGACAAUGGGGGAAACCCUGAUCCAGCCAUCCCGCGUGUAUGAUGAAGGCCUUCGGGUUGUAAAGUACUUUUGGCAGAGAAGAAAAGGUAUCCCCUAAUACGGGAUACUGCUGACGGUAUCUGCAGAAUAAGCACCGGCUAACUACGUGCCAGCAGCCGCGGUAAUACGUAGGGUGCAAGCGUUAAUCGGAAUUACUGGGCGUAAAGCGUGUGUAGGCGGUUCGGAAAGAAAGAUGUGAAAUCCCAGGGCUCAACCUUGGAACUGCAUUUUUAACUGCCGAGCUAGAGUAUGUCAGAGGGGGGUAGAAUUCCACGUGUAGCAGUGAAAUGCGUAGAUAUGUGGAGGAAUACCGAUGGCGAAGGCAGCCCCCUGG
rnacentral:rRNA from 1 species